rnacentral:rRNA from 1 species
GGAGGGUGCAAGCGUUGUUCGGAAUUACUGGGGCGUAAAGCGCGCGUAGGCGGGUGAGUAAGUCGAUUGUGAAACCCCCCAGGGCUUAACCUGGGACGUGCAGUCGAAACUGCUCAUCUUGAAUGCUUGAGAGGAUGGCGGAAUUCCCGGUGUAGCAGUGAAAUGCGUAGAUAUCGGGAGGAACACCUGAGGCGAAGGCGGCCAUCUGGCGAUGCAUUGACGCUGAAGUGCGAAAGCGUGGGGAGCAAACAGGAUUAGAUACCCUGGUAGUCCACGCCGUAAACGAUGAUUACUAGGUGCUCGAAGUGUUAACCCUUUGGGUACCGUAGCUCACGCAUUAAGUAAUCCGCCUGGGGAGUACGGUCGCAAAGGCUA